rnacentral:rRNA from 1 species
CAGCAGCCGCGGGAAAACGUAGGGGGCGAGCGUUGUCCGAAGUUACUGGGCGUAAAGCGCGCGUAGGCGGCUUCUUAAGUCUGAGGUGAAAGGUUCAACGCUUAACGUGAACAGUGCCUUGGAUGCUGGGGAGCUUGAGUAUGGGAGAGGGCAGUGGAAUGGCUGGUGUAGCGGUGAAAUGCGUAGAUAUCAGUCGGAACACCCAUGGCGAAGGCAGCUGCCUGGCCUAAUACUGACGCUGAGGUGCGAAAGCGUGGGGAGCGAACGGGAUUAGAGACCCCAGUAGUCCCUGUCUCUUAUU